UACGAAGGGGGCUAGCGUUGCUCGGAAUUACUGGGCGUAAAGGGAGCGUAGGCGGAUAGUUUAGUCAGAGGUGAAAGCCCAGGGCUCAACCCUGGAAUAGCCUUUGAUACUGGCUGUCUUGAGUGCGGGAGAGGUGUGUGGAACUCCGAGUGUAGAGGUGAAAUUCGUAGAUAUUCGGAAGAACACCAGUGGCGAAGGCGACACACUGGCCCGUAACUGACGCUGAGGCGCGAAGGCGUGGGGAGCGAACGGG
rnacentral:rRNA from 1 species